CGUGACGCAAGUCAUCUGACUCCCAAGUUUUCAGACUUUAUUUUAAGAAGCACAAAAUGGUGGACUAAUGGUAAGAACUCUGAGAAACCAUAGAAGAAAGACUAAUGAAAGAAAGCAACGUGGAGAGCAGAUUCUAUGGUAACAAAGAUGACAGAUUAAGACCGACACAAGAAGGGGAUGAUUAGGAACAAGGCAGCUGCUUUCCAGAAGUCCUGACGGUUGAAUUGUCUUCCCCAAGAUUAGGAUGUUGAAGUCCCAACUCAGAGUGGAUAUUUGAAGACAGGGUCUUUAAAGAGGCCAUUAAGUUAAUAUGAGGUCACGCAGGUGAGCCCUAUGCCCUGUAAUUGUUCUGAUAAGAUGAGGUGAUCAGGACACAGACACAUACAGAGGGAAGAGCUUGUGAAGACACAGGGAGAAGAUUCCCAUCUACUAGCCAAGCAGAGAGGCUUCAGAAGGAAGUUAACCCUGCCAACAGCUUGAUCUGGGACUUCCAGCCUCUGCAAUUUGAAGGACAGAGGAGCCUGGCAUGCUACAGUCCAUGGGGAGUCAGGCACGAUUUGGAAACUGAACAGCAACAGAUGAGUCUCAGUCUCACACACACUGGAGGAUGCACUGCUUUAGCCCAGUGGGUCUCAACCCUAGCUGCUCCAUAGAAUCACCUGGGAGCUUUUCAAAGGCCUGGGGCAGGGCCUCUUAUCCAUUCUUCUUAAGAGCACUCAGGAUAAUACUGCUAUGUACUUUGGAUGGAGAGCUGCUCUGAGGACCUCUGAUUAUGGCCCUCUGGUACCUAGUUGGUAUGUCACCCCGGGUGAGAUUCUCAGCAUCCCUCACGUCACCUCUUGUGGGUCAGUGUUUCUCACAUCUUGCUGUGCAUUUAGUCACCUGUGUGUGGGGGUGAGUUUAAACUUUCAAUACCCAACUGCCCACCAAGAUCGAUUAAAUCAGAAGCUAACUGAGAGAGGAAGGGAGUGGAGAAGCUGAGACUGAUUGUUUUAAAGUCCUCUUUAAAAAAAAAAUUUAUUUUUGGCUGUGCUGGGCUGUGUGUGGGUUUUCUCUAGUUGUGGACAGUGGGGGCUCCUCUCUAGUUGUGGUGUGAAAGCUUCUCAUUGCAGUGACUUCUCUCGUUGUUAAGGCCCCUGGAACUCGUGUGGACAGGAAGCCCAGCAGUACUGAUGCACUUAGAGCUGAAGCAGUCAUAAACCUCUGGUUGGUAUGUGGAAGGACAGAAUUUUUUGCAGCCUCAGCGCUGAGAGUCAGGAUUGAGCACACCUGCCAGGUUCAGUAAACCUGUGUUUCUGCCUUUAAAAAUGGCUGCAUGAGCCCUUUUUGUCAGAUGCUCUCCCUGGGCCAUCAUUUCAUUAUUUAUUCAGUAUUUUCAUAACUGAGCCAUCAGCCCAACUGUAAAAGUGCCAAGGAGAAAACUUUGUUUUUAAUGAUUAUGCAUCUCUUUGGCUUUGUUACCAUAAUUUCUGGGGGAGCAACAAUUACCUUGUGUCUGGCUGAUCUGCCUCUGAGUGCAGCGUCCUUCCAGUUGGUUUAAAGAGACCAUCAUUCUCUGGGACCGUUGCCUACUGCAUGCUAAUGUGUGGCCUCCAGCUGGGACUUGGGAAUCUCAGGCAGGAUGUCCGGUUUAGGAAUUGCUUCAUCUGUGCAUGUGUGUAUUUGGUGAAUCUUUGAGGAUCUUCUAUGUGCCCGGCCCUGUGCUGGGAGCUGGAGAUGGUGUGGCAAGUUGCCUCUUGGGAAAUAUGUUCAAAAGCUAAAGAACUGAGAAAUAAGUGAUUAAUCCUGGGGGGUGUGUGUCAGCCUGGACAGCCUUCUCUAAGGAGGUGACAUUUGCCCUGGUUUCUUUUUUUGAAUUUUAUUUUUGGCAGCAAUGGGUCUUUGUUGCUGCACAUAGGCUUUCUCUAGUUGCGGUGAGUGGGGGCUACUCUUCAUUGUCACGUGUAGGCUUCUCACUGCGGUGGCUUCUCGUUGCAGAGCAUGGGCUCCAGGCUCACGGGCUUCAGUAGUUGGGGCACAGAGAUUUAGUUGCUCUGUAGCAUAUGGGAUCUUUCCAGAGCAGAUAUUGAACAUGUGUCUCCUAUAUUGGCAGGUAGAUUCUUAACCGCAGGACCAGGGCAGUCCUGCUGUGGGUUUUAAAAAGUAAAUAGGAGUCUUGCUGAAAAGGUUGUAUGGCCUUGUGUGUGCUUAGUCGCUCAGUCACAUCUGACCCUUUGCAGCCCCCUGGACUGUAGCCCUCCAGGAUCCUCUGCCCAUGGGGAUUCUCCAGGCAAGAAUACUGGAAUGGGUUGCUAUGCCCUCCUCCAGGGGAUCUUCCCAACCCAGGGAUCGAACCCAGGUCUCCCGUAUUGCAGGCAGAUCCUUUGCCGUCUGAACCACCAGGAAAGCCCUGUAUGGCCUUAGGGGCAGGCUUCAACCUGGCCAAGUGGUUAGAAUCCCAAGCUACAUUCCAGACCGUCAAAUAAGAACCUUUGGGGGGUGAGACCUAGGUGUCAGUAAUUUUUAAAGCUCCCUAAAUGGUUUCAAAGUGCAGACAAGGUUGGAAGCCAUGCAUUUAAGGCAGCAGUCCCUAAACUUUUUGGCACCAGGGACUGGUUUCAUGGAAGACAGUUUUUUCAUGGAUUGGAGUGGGGGAUGGUUUCGGGAUGAUUCAGGCACAUUACAUUUGUUGUGCACUUUAUUUCUAAUCUAAUGCCACUGCUGAUCUGACAGGAGGUACCAGUCCAUGGCCCAGAGGUUGGGAACCCCUUCAUUAAGAAGAUGGAGUGGAGGCCACCUAGAAAUUAAAAAGAGAAUUAACAUAGUCUUGAAGUUCACCCUCCACAGGUUAUCAGUUCAGAAACUUCUCUCCAGCUCUUCCCAAGUGUUCCAGAGAAGUGAGAGGAUAGGGGCCUUGGAGGCAGACAGAUGGUAUGCUGACUGCUGUAACACAACUGGGUGAUUGUCAGUCAUUUAUUCCUGCAGUUGAAAAUUCUGGAGAAGUAUCUAGAAUAAAACUGCAGAACAGGACAGUGGAGACUGUUUACCCAGGCCAAGGUUGACUUCUGGAGCAGCACAAAGGAAAACGGGAGAUGACAUCUCCCAGCCUCCUUUGUGGUUCAGCUGGGACCAUGUGACUGAGUUCUGGCCAAUGGAAAUGCAAGGGGAAGUGAUACAGCCCUUAUCAGUCCUAGACCUUCUCCACUCCCUGACUCUCCCCUCCAGGAAGCUGGAGUGAAGGGCACUGAAAUGGUGGCAUCGCAAGAAGGAAGGGGGCUGUUCCUGAGUCACCACCUGGAGGAGAGCUGCCAACCAGUUUUAGCCUGUGACAUGGAUGAGAUAUAAACCUUUGUGUGUUAAGCCACUGAGAUUUUAAGAUGUGUCUGUUAUGGCAGCUCCCAUUUAAUACCUAAUACUUCCAGCUUUUUUUAAAAAUUGUUCUCCAGUUUGCUUAAUAUCCUUUCAAUCAUCCUAAUUCAUCCCCAGACUCUCCCACAGAAUGGUAAACCUCCUCUCAGUAAGGGUGAGCUCCCGGUCUCUUCAGCUGUGCUCUCUGCCCUUCCCCUCCCCACCCCUCAACUAACCCUUUGCCUAGCUGGUGGAACUUCAGGCUUUUCUCUGCCUCACACAGAGGCAGGAGGCUGGUCGGAAGGGGAUACAGGUUAGAUUUAAGGAGAGGUGGCCUCACGUAAU